GACGAACGCUGGCGGCGUGCCUAAUACAUGCAAGUCGAACGCAGUGGGGACGGGUGAGUAAACCGUGGGUAACCUCCCAUCAGAGGGGAAAACACUUGGAAACAGGUGCUAAACCCAUACUGAUGGAUGGACCCGCGGUGCAUUAGCUAGUGGGGGGGGUAACGGCUCACCAAGGCCACGAUGCAUAGCCGACCUGAGAGUGUGAUCGGCCACACUGGAACUGAGACACGGCCCAGACUCCUACGGGAGGCAGCAGUAGGGAAUAUUCGGCAAUGGGCGAAAGUCUGACCGAGCAACGCCGCGUGAGUGAAGAAGGUUUUCGGAUCGUAAAACUCUUUUGUUGGAGAAGCGGUAUCUAAACAGAAAGCCACGGCUAACUACGUGCCAGCAGCCGCGGUAAUAC
rnacentral:rRNA from 1 species